UCGCCCGUCCGCUACUACCGAUUGAAUGGUUUAGUAAGGUCCUCGGAUUGGUGCUAUUGUAGUUGCUUCGGCAGCUCGACCAGCGCUGAGAAGACGACCAAACUUGAUCAUUUAGAGGAAGUAAAAGUCGUAACAAGGUUUCCGUAGGUGAACCUGCGGAAGGAUCAUU
rnacentral:rRNA from 2 species